CGUGCAGGCGGUUCGGUAAGUUGGGCGUGAAAUCUCCCGGCUCAACUGGGAGAGGUCGUCCAAUACUACCGGACUCGAGAGCAGUAGAGGAAGACGGAAUUCCCGGUGUAGUGGUGAAAUGCGUAGAUAUCGGGAGGAACACCAGUGGCGAAGGCGGUCUUCCGGACUGUUUCUGACGCUCAGACGCGAAAGCUAGGGUAGUAAACGGGAUUAGAGACCCCGGUAAUCCUAGCCGUAAACGAUGUGAACUUGGCGUCGGUGGCUUAAACACCAUCGGUGCCGCAGCUAACGCGAUAAGUUCACCGCCUGGGGACUACGAUCGCAAGAUUAAA
rnacentral:rRNA from 1 species